AAGAAACAAGACAGUUGUUGAAAAGAUAGAAACGGAAACAAGUUCCAACUAUUGUAUGACGAAUGAACAUGCUUUUUAUUUUACGAGACAAGUCAGUUGAGAACAAAUUCUUAUUUACAAUGACGGCCUACCAGGAAACAGUGGGUUAACUGCCUUGUUCAGGGGCAGAAAGACAGUUUUUUACCUUGUCAGCUUGGGGAUUUGAACUUGCAACCUUCCAGUUACUAGUCCAACUCUCUAACCACUAGGCUACCUGCCACCCCUACACUCUAACCACUAGGCUACCUGCCACCUCUACACUCUAACCACUAGUCUACCCUGCCACCCCUACACUCUAGCCACUAGGCUACCUGCCACCUCUACACUCUAACCACUAGGCUACCUGCCACCCCUACAUUCUAACCACUAGGCUACCUGCCACCCCUACACUCUAACCACUAGGCUACCUGCCACCCCUACACUCUAACCACUAGGCUACCUGCCGUCCCUACACUCUAAGCACUAGGCUACCUACCGUCCCUACACUCUAACCACUAGGCUACCUGCCGCCCCUACACUCUAACCACUAGGCUACCUGCCGCCCCUACACUCUAACCACUAGGCUACCUGCCACCUCUACACACUAACCACUAGGCUACCUGCCACCUCUACACUCUAACCACUAGGCUACCUGCCACCUCUACACUCUAACCACUAGGCUACCUGCCACCUCUACACUCUAACCACUAGGCUACCUGCCACCCCUACACUCUAACCACUAGGCUACCUGCCGCCUCUACACUCUAACCACUAGGCUACCUGCCACCUCUACACUCUAACCACUAGGCUACCUAAGAUUGAUAAGAUUGAAUCUCUUAUAACAAGUGAAUGAAUUGAAACAAGUGUGUAAAAACAUGCAGCAGAUUGAGAGUAUUGAGAGUAUUGUAAAGGUGUCGAUAACCACACCAGUGUGGGUCGUCAGCCUCUGAAUGUCUUUAAUGCAGCAUGUUGACAGGAUCUAGUUUUAAUCCUAUGACAGCACAGCCCCACUACAGCUCUAGAUAGACAACGUCUCUCUCUCUCUCUCUCACGUCAACACAGCCCCACUACAGCUCUAGAUAGACAACGUCUCUCUCUCUCACGUCAACACAGCCCCACUACAGCUCUAGAUAGACAACAUCUCUCUCUCUCUCGUCACAGCCCCACUACAGCUCUAGAUAGACAACGUCUCUCUCUCUCUCGUCACAGCCCCACUACAGCUCUAGAUAGACAACGUCUCUCUCUCUCACGUCAACACAGCCCCACUACAGCUCUAGAUAGACAACGUCUCUCUCUCUCUCACACAUCAACACAGCCCCACUACAGCUCUAGAUAGACAACAUCUCUCUCUCUCACGUCAACACAGCCCCACUACAGCUCUAGAUAGACAACGUCUCUCUCUCUCACGUCAACACAGCCCCACUACAGCUCUAGAUAGACAACGUCUCUCUCUCUCUCUCUCACAUCAACACAGCCCCACUACAGCUCUAGAUAGACAACGUCUCUCUCUCUCUCACACAUCAACACAGCCCCACUACAGCUCUAGAUAGACAAAUGUAGACGAGUCCCAAGACUCUUUUGGGGGCCGUAGAGCAAAACGGAGAACACCAAAUGUGUUUGUGAGAAUCUGAUCAUAAUAUUUUUGGAGGCCAAACCGUUCGGCAUUUUCGUGAGAAGACUGAUUUUCUGGACGUCUCAUGGUCUAACAAACACAGCUGUAGCUCUGCCUCCUUUCACCGCAGAUGCAGAAGUGAGACAUCGGCAGCUAUGAGUCUCAAUCCACCGCACAUCUGCCGAUGUCGCACUUCUGCAUCUGCGGUGAAAUUUUUAUAUAUGCCCUUCACAUCACAUUCAUCCCCUUGGUAACAGAAGAAUGAUGCAAUGGUUACCAUAACAUACGUAAAGCAGGCAAGACUAUAUUUACGUUGUUCUCUAAUUCUCGCAAAAAGAAAAAAUCAGUUGGACUACAUAUUUAAUAAUUGUCUGGUUCUCGUAUCGAUCGGGUUCCCACCUAUAAAUAUCUGGGCAUUUGGAUUGACAGACUUAAUGCUUAAAAACAUACAGAUGAGCUAGUUAAAGAGCUCAGAUAUAAAGUGGGCUUCUUUAACAAGAAAAAGAUCUUGCCUCAGGAAGCAGAUUGUACAGUCACCUUUCCUGCCAGGUCUUGGCUAUGGUGACACCAUUUACCAGAAUGCAUCAGCCACUACUCUUAAACCUUUGGAUGCCGUCUACCAUGGCGUCCGUCGCUUUAUCACAGGGGACAGUUUUAAUACUCACUACUGCAUCCUGCUGGUCCUCAUUAAAGCCCAGAAGAUCACCUCAUUUACUCCCCUUUAUUUACAAAGCACUACUACACAAGCUUCUGACGUAACCUAACGUUGCCGUGAAAAUAUUUUUUCAAACGUGAAAGCAAACACGUUCACAAGGUUGCUUAACUUUUGGAGGUUCCUGGGGUCUCCAUCAAACGUUUUAGUUUUAAAGCACCUCGUUGCUGGAACCAACUACACAACACAUUACAAUAGGAUAUUCUGGCACCUUUUUAUUGAGGAAUUUUAUUGUUUUUCUUGAGUAUUUGUGUUGUGCUGUAUUUGACUGGUUUUAUAUUGUAUUAUAUUUUUUGAUAUUUUCUAUGAAAUUGUAGAUGCAGGGCUUGUGAAAGAGACCAUGUACUUAAAUAAAAGUACACAGCACUCAUGUUCCUCUGUAGCAAAAGCUCCAGUCCUCAGAGCCUGAUUGGUGACACACUCCAGCCCCAGCUAACACACCUGACUGCAAUAAUCAACAAAUCAUGGGCUUCAGUUUGGAAUGCAAAUUAGUUUAAUCAGGUGUUCUGGGGCAAAAGUGUAUAACCAAUCAGACCUCCGAAGACGGUAGUGGUCCACACCUAAUCUACAUUCUCCUACCAGACCAGGUAUAGGGGACCAGCCAGACCAGGUAUAGGGGACCAGCCAGACCAGGUAUAGGGGACCAGUCAGACCAGGUAUAGGGGACCAGCCAGACCAGGUAUAGGGGACCAGCCAGACCAGGUAUAGGGGACCAGUCAGACCAGGUAUAGGGGACCAGCCAGACCAGGUAUAGGGGACCAGCCAUAGGGGACCAGCCAGACCAGGUAUAGGGGACCAGUCAGACCAGGUAUAGGGGACCAGUCAGACCAGGUAUAGAGGACCUGGUAUAGGGGACCAGACAGACCAGGUAUAGGGGACCAGUCAGACCAGGUAUGGGGGACCAGUCAGACCAGGUAUGGGGGACAAGUCAGACCAGGUAUAGGGGACCAGUCAGACCAGGUAUAGGGGACAAGUCAGACCAGGUAUAGGGGACCAGUCAGACCAGGUAUAGGGGACCAGUCAGACCAGGUAUAGGGGACCAGUCAGACCAGGUAUAGGGGACCAGUCAGACCAGGUAUAGGUGACCAGCCAGACCAGGUAUAGGGGACCAGCCAGACCAGGUAUAGGGGACCAGGUAUAGGGGACCAGCCAGACCAGGUAUAGGGGACCAGCCAGACCAGGUAUAGGGGACCAGCCAGACCAGGUAUAGGGGACCAGUCAGACCAGGUAUAGGGGACCUGGUAUAGGGGACCAGCCAGACCAGGUAUAGGGGACCAGUCAGACCAGGUAUAGGGGACCAGCCAGACCAGGUAUAGGGGACCAGUCAGACCAGGUAUAGGGGACCAGUCAGAACAGGUAUAGGGGACCAGCCAGACCAGGUGUAGGGGACCAGCCAGACCAGGUAUAGGGGACCAGCCAUAGGGGACCAGCCAGACCAGGUAUAGGGGACCAGUCAGACCAGGUAUAGGGGACCAGUCAGACCAGGUAUAGAGGACCUGGUAUAGGGAACCAGCCAGACCAGGUAUAGGGGACCAGUCAGACCAGGUAUGGGGGACCAGUCAGACCAGGUAUGGGGGACCAGUCAGAUCAGGUAUAGGGGACCAGUCAGACCAGGUAUAGGGGACCAGUCAGAUCAGGUAUAGGGGACCAGUCAGACCAGGUAUAGGGGACGAGUCAGACCAGGUAUAGGGGACGAGUCAGACCAGGUAUAGGGGACGAGUCAGACCAGGUAUAGGGGACCAGUCAGACCAGGUAUAGGGGACCAGUCAGACCAGGUAUAGGGGACCAGGUAUAGGGGACCAGCCUGACCAGGUAUAGGGGACCAGUCAGACCAGGUAUAGGGGACCAGUCAGACCAGGUAUGGGGGAACAGUCAGACCAGGUAUGGGGGACCAGUCAGAUCAGGUAUAGGGGACCAGCCAGACCAGGUAUAGGGGAUCAACAGGGGUUCCUUGAGGAGCUCCAGGGGUUCCUUAAUGAGCUCCAGGGGUUCCUUAAUGAGCUCCAGGGGUUCCUUAAUGAGCUCCAGGGGUUCCUUUAGGAUCUGCAGGGGUUCCUUGAGGAUCUGCAGGGGUUCCUUGAUGAGCACCAGGGGUUCCUUGAUGAGCACCAGGGGUUCCUUGAGGAUCAACAGGGGUUCCUUGAGGAUCAACAGGGGUUCCUUGAGGAUCAACAGGGGUUCC
ensembl:lncRNA